rnacentral:rRNA from 1 species
GAUGAACGCUGGCGGUAUGCUUAACACAUGCAAGUCGAACGGACUCUUCGGAGUUAGUGGCGGACGGGUGAGUAACGCGUGAGAAUCUGGCUUUGGGUUCGGGACAACCACUGGAAACGGUGGAUAAUACCGGAUGUGCCGAGAGGUAAAAGAGAAAUUGCCUGAAGAUGAGCUCGCGUCUGAUUAGCUAGUUGGUGAGGUAAAGGCUCACCAAGGCAGCGAUCAGUAGCUGGUCUGAGAGGAUGACCAGCCACACUGGGACUGAGACACGGCCCAGACUCCUACGGGAGGCAGCAGUGGGGAAUUUUCCGCAAUGGGCGAAAGCCUGACGGAGCAAUACCGCGUGAGGGAAGAAGGCUCUUGGGUUGUAAACCUCUUUUCUUAGGGAAGAACAAAAUGACGGUACCUAAGGAAUCAGCAUCGGCUAACUCCGUG